GAGUUUGAUCGUGGCUCAGAGCGAACGCUGGCGGCAGGCUUAACACAUGCAAGUCGAGCGGGCCCUUCGGGGUCAGCGGCGGACGGGUGAGUAACGCGUGGGAACGUGCCUUCUGGUUCGGAAUAACCCUGGGAACUAGGCUAAUACCGGAUACGCCCUUUUGGGGAAAGGUUUACUGCCGGAAGAUCGGCCCGCGUCUGAUUAGCUAGUUGGUGGGGUAAUGGCCUACCAAGGCGACGAUCAGUAGCUGGUCUGAGAGGAUGAUCAGCCACACUGGGACUGAGACACGGCCCAGACUCCUACGGGAGGCAGCAGUGGGGAAUAUUGGACAAUGGGCGCAAGCCUGAUCCAGCCAUGCCGCGUGAGUGAUGAAGGCCUUAGGGUUGUAAAGCUCUUUUAUCCGGGACGAUAAUGACGGUACC
rnacentral:rRNA from 1 species